rnacentral:rRNA from 1 species
UACGGAGGGUGCAAGCGUUAUCCGGAUUUACUGGGUUUAAAGGGUGCGUAGGCGGGCCCUUAAGUCAGUGGUGAAAGCUCCGAGCUUAACUCGGAAACUGCCAUUGAUACUAUAGGUCUUGAAUUCGGUCGAGGUUGGCGGAAUGUGUCGUGUAGCGGUGAAAUACUUAGAUAUGACACAGAACACCGAUUGCGAAGGCAGCUAGCUAGACCGACAUUGACGCUGAGGCACGAAAGCGUGGGGAGCAAACAGG